AUUUCUUCUCGACUGAACAAAGAAAGACAUCAACAUUUUGGAUGACAUGGUGGUGAGUAAAUUAUCUGGAUUUUUCUUUUAAGAAAAUGGACUAAUCCUUUAACGAAAGGCUUGUCUGAAGCGUGGCCAACAGCCAAUCACAGUGGCCGCUACACAUGCUCCGUUCUCCCAUAAACAUAAUUGCCUGUCUCUGUCUAGGUAAUUUGCAUAAGGCGAUCUGAUUGGCUGACGCACACGUUGCCGCUUGAAAAGUUGAGAAAUGUUCAACUUCUGCCGUGAGCAAUGGCACUGACGCUGCACCGACGGAUCCACUAUUCAGUUCGGCAAUGCAUGACGUCACCCAUUAAAAGUCAAUGGGAAGCGUUAACCCUUACGUCCCGUGUGACUGCAUCGUUAAAGAGGAGGAAGGUGGCGUUGUCACGUUUUCGCAUGGUUUUAGACACGACAUGUGAAGCAAAUGAGCAUAUGUGCUUGGACAUUUUGGUGGGUGCUCAAGCCGAGCCCUGGAGCACUCACGGGAACGGCGUCUAUGUGUGUGUUUAUUGUAGCACUUCCAUCCUUGAAACAAGAACACCAUCCAGAGGCGAACGCAACUGUGAAUUUCACCGUAUUCUCCAUGAACGCCACCUGGAUGACAGUUGCUUUCAGUGGUACUUGAGGAUGACGGCUGCAGUUUGAUAGCCUGCUAGCUUUGACCGAUUGUAGGAUUGCUCAUAUGGACACUAACUACAGAAAUUCCGUCUCAGCUGCGGAGCGCCUGUCCAUCUGUCUCAGGUCAGGAGCCGUUACAUAAUUAAUUCUCAUUACCAAUUAAUAUACAACCUAUUAAACAACUCUUCUUACGUGUUGCGGUCUCCACAGUCUUCAAGAUUGUCCCAGAUGUUGGACAAUAGAUUGCUAUGGAUUUAGU